UCUUUCAACUUCUCGGUAAUUUCAAAUCAACGUUAGCUGCUCCCGCGCUACACAACGCGCCAUUCAUCUCCUUCCCAAAGUCGAUAAUCAUCUCCAUCCAAGGUAGUCCACUGCAAGGCAUCAUUCAUCACACAAGGCGCCGUUCAUCUCCUUCCAAAAUUGUACACGGGAGCCUUCUUUUUUCAUUUCCUUUCAUCAACAUCCCCUUCUUCUCUAUCCUACCCAUUUCUCCUCCAUCUACAAUAUCCCGUCUGCCCCGCUCCAAUCUGCAACACCGCCACCAUCAGCUUCCCCUCAACCUCUGUCAACUUCGACAACCAUGCCUCCGCCUCCGCAAACUUCUGUAGGACAAAUGAAGAUUAGGCAGUUAUUGAUCUGAAGAAAAGGUGUCUAAUUGAGAUUAAGAUUUUCAAUAGAAAGCUAAUAAAUAUGUAUGAUAGGGCUAAUCAGUAAGUGAUUCCAUUGUGUUGCAUAUUAAAAUUUGUACAUCACAACUAGUAGAAGAACCUGUCAUUCGAGAACAAAGAUUUUACAUGAAGGGGAUUGUUGUUGGAACUUGGAAAUGUUUCUAAUAGACAUCAUUCCUAAUA